GACGAACGCUGGCGGCGUGCUUCACACAUGCAAGUCGAACGGAGUGGCGAACGGGUGAGUAACCCGUGGGUGCUCUGCCUUGCACUUCGGGAUAAGCUUGGGAAACUGGGUCUAAUACCGGAUAGUGCAAGAUGAGCUCGCGGCCUCUCAGCUUGUUGGUGGGGUAAUGGCCUACCAAGGCGUCGACGGGUAGCCGGCCUGAGAGGGUGUACGGCCACAUUGGGACGGGGAGACGGCCCAGACGCAGACGGGAGGCAGCAGUGGGGAAUAUGGCACAAUGGGCGGAAGCCUGAUGCAGCGACGCCGCGUGGGGGAUGAAGGCCUGCGGGUUGUAAACUCCUUUCGACAGGGACGCGGUACCUGUAUAAGAAGCACCGGCUAACUACGUGCCAGCAGCCGCGGUAAUUC
rnacentral:rRNA from 1 species